GCCUCGGAGAGACACGCUGUUCUGAGGAGGGCCAGGAGGAAACCCAGGCAGCUCACCCCGAGAGGACAUGGACGCCCACAGCAAAUCCAGCCGCAGAUCUGCUUUCCAGCAAAGGGGAAUGUUUCUCAAAGCUGCAAAUUAGCGGCCAAUAUUAACAAGACCACGCUUUGAUCUGGCACCUGAGUCGCCAGGACCUUCAGAUUGGGUGCCUCCCCACGGAAGGCAGGAGCAGCUGCGGGAAAAGGACAGGAACCACUCAGAGAGCAGCCAGAAGGGGGCUCCCGAGUGGGCUGCAGCCCAGCCUUGAGCGAAUAGAAGAAAAGCUACCGAGUCCGGAGUCUGCUCUGCAUUGGUCUAAGGAGCCCACACCUGCCACCACGAAGAAUUGCCUGAGUACUGGAAGUUUCCAGAAGUGUCCAGGCAGCCCCUCAGAUUGCAUGAUUAUCUCUACAGAAAACACCAAGGAACCUACGAACUACCAGAACUGAUGACAAGUGAGUUUAGCAAGAUUGCAGGACACAAGAUUAAUAUACAAAACUCAAUUGUGUUACUCUAUACUAGCAAUGAGCAAUAGGAAAUAAAAAUUUUAAAAACAGUACUAUUUACCAAUAGUACACCCCUGGGGGGAAAAAAAACCAUGGAAAACUUUGGUAUAAACCCAACAUCUGUACAUGAUCUGUAUGCUGAAAAUUGCAAAACAAGGAUGAAAGAAAUCAAAGAAGACCUAAAUAAAUAGAUAUACUGUACCCUGUAUUCACAGAUUGGAAGAUUCAGUGUUGUUAAAACAUUAAAUUCUUCCCAAACGAUCUAUAACUUCUUCCCUCUCUCCAAGCCCAACGAUGUUUUUUUUGUAUAAGUCAACAAGUGUAUUUGAAAGUUUAUAUAGAGAGGCAAAAGACCUAGAAUAACCAAAACAAUUUUGGAAAAGAACAAAGUUGGAGGACUCACAUUUUCUGAUUCGGAUGCUAAAGCUACAGUAAUGAAGACAGUGUGGCUGAUGAAAGGCUGGAUCGGUGCAACAGAGUGGCAUCCAGAAACAGAGCCCCACACGUGUGGCCAAUCUACUUUCAACACAGCUUCAAAGGGAAUUAGAUGGACAAAGGAUGUUUUCUCAAUAAAUGGCACUGGAACAAUUGUCAUCCACAUGCAAAAAAAUGAACCUCAACCCACACCUUGAUCAUAAACAAAAUUGGAUUCAAAAUGGAUCACAGACUUAAAUGCAAAACAUAAAAUUAUAAAACUUCUAGAAGUAGACCUAGGGAAAAAAUCUUGCGAUUUGAGUUAUGCAAAGAUUUCUUAUAUAUGACACUAAAAGAAUGAUUCAUCAAGGGGGGGAAAAAAGGGUAAAUUAGAUUUCAUCAAACCUUUUCAAAAAUCUGCUCUUUGAAAAUCUGUUAAGAGAAUGAAAAGAUAAGACACAUACUGGGAGAAAAUAUUUGCAAAACAUGUCUGAUAAGGAACUUGUGUUUGUGGGUGAAGAGGGGAAGGGAUUAAGAAGUACCAACUGGUAGUUACAAAAUAGUCAUGGGAU